rnacentral:rRNA from 1 species
UACAGAGACUGCGAGCGUUAUUCGGAUUCACUGGGCGGAAAGUGUGCGCAGGCGGCGUCGCAAGUCGAGUGUGAAAGCCCCGAGCUUAACUUGGGAAUUGCGCUCGAAACUACGAUGCUGGAGUGUGGCAGAGGAAGGUGGAAUUCCACGUGUAGCGGUGAAAUGCGUAGAGAUGUGGAGGAACACCGAUGGCGAAGGCAGCCUUCUGGGCCAACACUGACGCUCAUGCACGAAAGCGUGGGGAGCAAACAGG